rnacentral:rRNA from 1 species
GAUGAACGCUAGCGGCAGGCCUAACACAUGCAAGUCGAGGGGCAUCGGGGUGCUUGCACCGCCGGCGACCGGCGCACGGGUGAGCAACGCGUACAGAACCUGCCCGUUACAGGGGGACAG